CCUACGGGGGGCAGCAGUGAGGAAUAUUGGUCAAUGGCCGAGAGGCUGAACCAGCCAAGUCGCGUGAGGGAAGACGGCCCUACGGGUUGUAAACCUCUUUUGUCGGGGAGCAAAGCGAACCACGUGUGGUUCAUUGAGAGUACCCGAAGAAAAAGCAUCGGCUAACUCCGUGCCAGCAGCCGCGGUAAUACGGAGGAUGCGCGCGUUCUCCGGAUUUGUUGGGGUUCAAGGGGGCGCAGGGGGAGGUGCAAGUCAGCGGUCAAAUUGCGGGGCUCAACCCCGUACUGCCGUUGAAACUGCAUCCCUUGAGUGCGCGAGAAGUAUGCGGAAUGCGUGGUGUAGCGGUGAAAUGCAUAGAUAUCACGCAGAACUCCGAUUGCGAAGGCAGCAUACCGGCGCGCAACUGACGCUCAUGCACGAAAGCGUGGGUAUCGAACAGGAUUAGAUACCCUAGUAGUC
rnacentral:rRNA from 1 species